rnacentral:rRNA from 1 species
AGUGAACGCUGGCGGUAGGCCUAACACAUGCAAGUCGAACGGCAGCACAGGAGAGCUUGCUCUCUGGGUGGCGAGUGGCGGACGGGUGAGGAAUACAUCGGAAUCUACUCUGUCGUGGGGGAUAACGUAGGGAAACUUACGCUAAUACCGCAUACGACCUACGGGUGAAAGCAGGGGAUCUUCGGACCUUGCGCGAUUGAAUGAGCCGAUGUCGGAUUAGCUAGUUGGCGGGGUAAAGGCCCACCAAGGCGACGAUCCGUAGCUGGUCUGAGAGGAUGAGCGGCCACACUGGAAGUGAGACACGGUCCAGACUCCGACGGGAGGCAGCAGUGGGGAAUAUUGGACAAUGGGCGCAAGCCUGAUCCAGCCAUACCGCGUGGGUGAAGAAGGCCUGCGGGUUGUAAAGCCCUUUUGUUGGGAAAGAAAUCCAGCUGGCUAAUACCCGGUUGGGAUGACGGUACCCAAAGAAUAAGCACCGGCUAACUUCGUGCCAGCCGCCGCCGUAA